GGCAGGACAAGCUCGCUGUGCUGUCUCUGUAUGCCAGAAUCAGAAGCGCAGGUACACACAAAGACCGCCCGGACCCUAGCUAAAAAACCUGCAUGCCCUUUUAGUUCAGACACUUUUUAAUUGUUUUUCAAAUUGCUUCUCGUGUCUGCCAUUGCACUCGCACUUUUAAUUUAGGUUAGUCUCAUAUUCUUUUAAUAUCCUUCGUUUGAGUUGCGGUGUCAGUUGUUGGCUACCUGUCCCGUUAGGUGUUGAAGGAAGGACGGAAGGAAGGAACGCACACAGGAAACGUUCCUCCAGAGUUCAACAGCUAAAACACCACAGAGCAAACGCGUCGAAAAAAGGGUCAUUGGCGGUCAGUGGGAUGAUAGUGAGGUGGGUUGGAGUCUGGAUUGAAGGAGCAUGGUGAAGCACCAACCCUUACAGGUCUAUGAGAGACAGCUGUGUUUGUCAUGUCUAACCGGAAUAUACGGCUGCCGCUGGAAACGCUACCAGCGGUCACAUGAUGACACCACCAAGUGGGAGUGUUUAUGGACCUUCAUUCUCUUCUGCACUUUCUCCUUGUUACUGGUGUGGUUUUACUUCUGGUGGGAGGCCCACAAUGACUACAGCGAGUUUAACUGGUUUUUAUAUAACCAUUCAGGGGAGUGGAGCGAUGGAACCAUUCCCAUAUUGGCCACCACUGCAGCUGGCUUCACCUAUAUUGCAUUUUUAAUGAUUUUAGCCCUGUGUCAUGUAGCUGUCGGACAGCAGUUAAACCUUCACUGGCUCCACAAGAUUGGUGUGACAGUCGCUUUGCUCGCUACAAUAAUUGGCGUGAUAUCUGUCACUCAGAUGUGGGGAGAGGAAUGGGAUGUAGUUUGGAUUUCUCUUCAGGCUACUGGUCCCUUCCUUCAAAUCGGCGCUUUAGCUGCAACUACCGCUUUGGCCUGGCUGGUGGCGGGACAGGUGGCACGCGGGGAGAGAACAAGGUUCCAGAUGAUGGUUCUCCUCAUCUACGUGAGUGUUCUCCUUACACUGUACUUCAUUCCGCUGUCAAUCACCUCACCCUGCAUUAUGGAGCGUGGGAGUCUCAAAGCAGCACCCGCUAUCAUCGGCUAUCAAGGAGCUCCAAUGCUCGCUCCAGAGAACACUCUACUGUCCUUCAACCGAGCUCUGCAGAGAAAUGUUAGUGGGUUGGAGGCGGAUGUGACCAUCAGUCUAGAUGGUGUGCCGUUCCUCAUGAGAGACCGGACAUUGAGGAGAACCACAAACGUGAGGAGAGUGUUCCCAGAGAGACAGUAUGAGGAUGCUUCACUCUUCAACUGGACUGAUCUGAGCUCACUGAACGCUGGCCAGUGGUUUCUGAAGGAUGAUCCUUUCUGGACUGUACAGUACAUGUCAGCUUCCGAACGCUUAUCGGUGGGGAACCAGACGGUGUGCAGCUUGGAGCAGAUGCUGAAACUAGCGGCUAAAUCCAAGACCUCGGCUGUAUUCACUCUGCGUAGACCACCGCCCAAUCACCCCCACCACCAUGACUGGGUCAACCUCACCCUGGACACUGUUCUGAGGUCAAGAAUACCACAACGGCAGGUGAUGUGGACGGUGGACAGUAACAGGGAGAUGGUGAGGCAGGUUGCUCCAGGUUUACAGCAGACCUCAGUACACAAGCUGCCCCUCGACACACUCCAUCAUAAAGACAUCAGCAGGGUCCUCCUGCGCUACAACCAGGCCUCUGUGCAGGACGUCCGGCUGUAUAAUGAGAACAACAUCAGUCUGACUCUGUAUUCAGUGAACGCCCCGUGGCUGUAUUCUCUGCUGUGGUGCAGCGGGGUGUCGUCCGUCUCCUCUGAAGCCCCGCAGGUGCUGAGGAAGGUGCACUAUCCGCUCUGGCUCAUGACUCCGGAUGAGUACUGCUUGAUAUGGAUCUCCACUGAUCUCAUUUCCUUUGCUGUAGUUCUGGGAAUAUUUAUAUUCCAGAACUAUCACAUAAUCAGGUGGAGAAUGAGUGGGAUGCGUAGCUACAACCCAGAGCAGAUCAUGCUGAGCGCAGCUGUUAGGAGAUCCAGCAGAGAUGUCAACAUCAUGAAGGAGAAGCUCAUCUUCUCUGGUCAGCCACAGUAGCUGUCCACCUCCUGGGUUUGAGUCUUCCACUACUGUAUGUCUCCGCAUCCCAUUCCAUCUCAUUCCCAGACCCUCCUCUCUCCCUCCUGUUUCUUACUGCCUGCCACCAUCCUGUCUCUUCCUGCAUCCGUUCAUCCAUCCAUCAAUCCAUUCUCCGCUGACAUCCCACAGACUGAAUGAUCUGUAGCACCACUGGCCAGGGUAACUGUGGCCUGCGUAUGAGGUGAGCAACGGAGUCAGCAGCGAUGAACCAUACAUGGAAAAUGGAUUUAACUACUACACCAAUUAAGGCGUUGCUCAUUGACUCAUGGAGCGAAAAAAAAAAAUGCAUCACAUCUUGAACCAACUUGUGGUGUAUCCUCUGAACUUACUACUGACUUAUCUCUUAGUCUACUGGUGAUGAUGGACUCUUGUACAGAUAUUUUUCCCCGUUUUUCCUUUGCUAAGUUGCUUGUUCUAAAUUCUGUACAAUAAAGAGAAGAAUGAAGUGUGGGUUUUCUGACUAUUACCAAAUCUGUGGCCUCUUCCCCCACGUAACGCUUGAGGAUGCUGGAAUGCCUGUUACUUGCUUCGUAUUGCAAGCAUGCCUGUGAUAAUAUAGUGGAUUUUAUCUAUCGGUUUUUGGGGAUUUUAUUUUUUUCUAAUCUUCCAUAGCCAGCCAACGUGGAGUAUAACGUAUAUAAUGCCAGCUUUUUUUAUUUCUAGACCUUGAUUUGAUGUGAUAUUCACAGUCUAAUGAUGCCUUCUGUUCAAACGGUUGUAAAUUUUGUAGAUCUAACAGGUGUUUACAGAGUGCCUGCCUUUAGCCCUUCAGUGAUAUUUACUGUGUUUGACAUUCCACCUAUUUAGCAUGUGGUUCAGUUGUCAUUUUGAGAGGAAAUCACCCAGCCUUAUCAUCUUGGUCAGUAUGAUGCCAGAAUACAUGGAACAUUUAGGCACAUAUUCUGCAUACAUACCAGUGGUUUGAUGUAAGGGAGACAAAAUAUAUCCACUAAUUAGUUUGGAAUGGGGGAUUACAGAAACCAAAAGUUAAAGUUUAGUUUAGGCUGUAGUUGAACACUGUUGAAAGCUGGCUUGGAGUUUCGAUGCCGUGCAAUAUUACUUGGACACUGUCCUAUAAUAAAAAGUGUUUGAAUGUUGUUCAGUGGCUUUUCUUUUUUAAACUAUUAAAUUAUAAUUUUAGCGUCAACCCUCUUGUUUAAGUAGCUUUUCAUGUAUUGAACACUUUGUACAGGGCUUCCUGUUGCUGAGGUGCCCUGACCCCAGACUUAAUAUUAUAAAUGUGAGAUGUGACAUUGUUUACAGUGGUUGUGCUGUCACACAGAGGACAGGCUGAACGAUUGUGCUGGUUGAUGUUUUAAUGAUGUGUUUCAGAGAUCAGUCAAUAAAAAUAAAAAAACUGCAGAUUUGA